UUUGAAACCCUUUCACAUAAAUCUUAGACUCAUCUUUUUUAAUUCUUUAAAAAGAUAGAGAUUUGGUUGGGAUUGAAUUGACCUCCUCAAUCAAUCUGGAAAAUUGACAUCUUUAAAAUAUUGAGUUAUUCAAUCCAUGAACAUGGUACACCACUUUACUUGUUUAAAGCUAUGAUAGUAAAGGCAUCUAUUUAUCUAUUUUAGUCCUGUAUGUGCAAUUGUAUUGCUAAUAAUAUACUAUAUUCUAAUAUUAAAAUUAUUAUAUUUUUCUGACAAUGAUAUAGUAACUCUUAUUCCCUUUACCUUAGAGUCUCUUUUGAUAGGAAUAUAGCUGCUCUUGCUUAUUUGUUUGUUUUUGAUCUCUAUUUUGGCUACUGUAUCUUUUCCCGUAGUUUCAUUUUCAAGCCUUCUGAAAUCUCUGCCUAUGUCUAUUGUUAAAAGCCUAUAGCUUGGUUUAUUUUUAAAGUCUACCCUCAAAAUCUAGUUUAAUCUCAACUAGAAAUUUAGCCAAUUAAAAUUUACUUUAAGUAAUGACAUAUCAUGACUUAUUUCUAUCGUUUUUCAUUUUUUCUUUACUAUUUUCUUGUUUGCUUUUGAAUUCAGUGCUUUUUCUUUACUAAUAGUUUGACAGUUACAUACCUUAUUCCUGUCUUUGCUUUUUUUUUGGUGGUCUUCAUAGAAGUUUUACUAUGCACACUUAACACAUAAAAUUAAUAAAUAUUUUAACCUCAAUUCAGAAAAUGUUAGGACCUGAAACACCUCACCGUCAUUUUCUUGUUUCUUGUUUGCAGGCUAGUGUUGUAGCUGGAGCCCAGCAAAGCCUGGACCAAGGCUUUAGAGGUCAUCUGCGUGAUGUUUCUUUCUGAAGCUGAAGUUCACUUCUAAGAUUUUCUAUUCUCCCAGGAUCUUCUACCACUAGUUUUGGAUGGACCCAGAGAGCUCAUCUAUAGACAUCUGUGAAACCAGGGCAAGUGUCAUUUCUCCCACCACCUUCAUGGCGUUUCUGAUGAGCAGACGAGAAAACCAGAAUCCACGGGAUUGUGGGAUGAGGGAAUUCCACAGAUGGGCUCAUAAAACCUGUGAUGAAGAUGGAUCCCAGAAGAGGACACUCUACCCACAGAGCCAGCCAGAUCAACUGCUGCGACGCAGCCCUCAGCCCUCAGCAGCAGUAUGGCCACAAAACAAGACUGGAGGGCAGACUCCAGAGGCUGAGGAGGAAGAGCAACUGAGCGUGCUCCCAGCUGUCCCUAACAAGCAAUGGCUCUCUCAGUUCUGGAAAUCUCCAGGAUGGAGACAUCCCUGUUUUCCCCAGACAGCUAGUUCCUCUCUGUCUGACAUUUAUGACCAUUUCCUUUGGGGUGAUCCAGCCUGCUCUCACGCAGUUCCUCCUUAUCUCCAGAUGCCCUAGUAAUAUCC
rnacentral:lncRNA from 1 species